ACCCUAAUGGGGGAUGUCACCACUGGGAUGUCCCCAAGGGGUGGCCCUGAUCGUGGUGACCCUGAGGGUGUCCCCAAGGCGAUGUCCCCAAUGGAAUGUCCUCAACGGGUGGCCCUGAGGAUGUCCCCAGUGGGGUCACCCUAAUGGGGGACGUCCCCAAGGGGUGGCCCUGAGGGUGUCCCCAAGGCGAUGUCCCCAAAGGGGUGACCCUAAUGGGGGAUGUCCCCAAAUGAGGUGACCCUAAUGGGGGAUGUCCCCAAUGGGAUGUCCCCAAGGGGGUGGCCCUAAUGGGGGAUGUCCCCAAUGGGAUGUCCCCAAAGGGGUGACCCUAAUGACCCUAAUGGGGGAUGUCCCCAAUGGGAUGUCCCCAAGGGGGUGGCCCUGGGGGUGACCCCAAUGGGGUGACCUCAGUGGGGAUGUCCCCAAGAUGUCCCCAAGGGGAUGUCCCCAAUGAGGUGACCCUAAUGGGGGAUGUCCCCAAUGAGGUGACCCCAAUGGGGGAUGUCACCACUGGGAUGUCCCCAAUGAGGUGACCUCAGUGGAAGAUGUCCCCAAGGUGAUGGCGCCAACGGGAUGUCCCCAAUGGGGUGGCCUUGGGGGUGUCCCCAGUGCGGUGACCCUAAUGGAGUGACCCCAAUGGGGGAUGUCCCCAAAGGGGUGACCCUAAUGGAGGAUGUCCCCAAGGAGGUGGCCCUGAUGGCGGUGACCCUGAGGGUGUCCCCAAGGGGAUGGCCCUGUCCCCACCGGGAUGUCCCCACUGGGGUAACCACAUGGAUGUCCCCACCGGGAUGUCCCCAAGGGGGCGGCUCUGUCCCCACCGGGAUGUCCCCAAGGGGAUGGCCCUGUCCCCACCGGGAUGUCCCCACUGGGGUAACCCCAUGGAUGUCCCCACCGGGAUGUCCCCAAGGGGAUGGCCCUGUCCCCAC